rnacentral:rRNA from 1 species
GACGAACGCUGGCGGCGUGCUUAACACAUGCAAGUCGAACGCUGAAGCUCAGCUUGCUGGGUGGAUGAGUGGCGAACGGGUGAGUAACACGUGAGUAACCUGCCAUCUUCUUUGGGAUCACGCCCGGAAACGGGUGCUAAUACUGGAUAUUCACUGAUUCUCGCAUGGGGGUUGGUGGACAGGUUUUUUCUGGUGGGGUAUGGGCUCGCGGCCUAUCAGCUUGUUGGUGGGGUGAUGGCCUACCAAGGCUUUGACGGGUAGCCGGCAUGACAAGGAGACCGGUCACAUUGGGACUGAGACACGGCCCAGACUCCUACGGGAGGCAGCAGUGGGGAAUAUUGCACGAUGGGCGAAAGCCUGAUGCAGCGACGGCGCGUGGGGGAUGGGGGCCUUCGGGUUGUAAACCUCUUUCGCUCAUGGUUAAGCCGCAGCUUUGGGUUGUGGUGAGGGUAGUGGGUAAAGAAGCGCCGGCUAACUACGUG